ensembl:snoRNA SNORD33 Small nucleolar RNA Z195/SNORD33/SNORD32 family
AUCGUCUGUGAUGAUUACUUUCACCCUUAGCUGAGUUUAACGACCAUGAAAAAACUAUCAUGCACUACCAUCUGAGGCGAA